GGGCAGGGGUUGUGGUGGUGCUCGGUAGAUCUUGGAUUGCUUUUAAAUGCCAAAGGUGUUCUCCUACUUAAAAAGACUGGAGAUCACUGUU